GUUGGUUAAUGCAUUGCUCUCACAGCCUGGUGUUUAAAUUCAAGAUCUGGUUCGAUUCCUAUUGAUCGAGUAAAUAAAUGAAACUGUAACACCCCGGCCCAGGCCCAAGUGGAAAAGGCCCAACAGAGAGAAACCCUAAGUAACCUUAAUCCUAACAACUAUAAAAGGAAGUGCCUCCCUACAGCUGAGCCAUCAGACACUCACCAAGCGAAGCCCUGCGAGAAUCGAGAGCCGCCGCCGCCACCAUUCCACCGAGGAAGCGCUGCCGUCGACCACCGCGCGCGCAGUCCAAGUCGCCGAUCGCGGGUACCAAGCCGUCGGCUUCUCGAUUCUGUGGAGUGUAACCGCCUUCGUUUAGAUCAUUAAGACUUCUGAGAACCAGAUCCGGAACAGAACCUACUCCCUUCGCUGUCCUAGAACCAGAUCGACAACCAACUAAGUUACGACCGAGGAAAUGCAGGAGUAAGGUUGGAGUGGUGCUGGUUCUUGGGUCGGGAAAUGCAUUUAUUUUUGUUUUCUUUAUUUUAAAUCUUUUGUCCUUUCAAGACCAGUGUUCAAACAUGUUUUCCAUUAAGGAUUUUUAAGCAAUAAAAAGGAUACGAGUUUU